rnacentral:sRNA from 1 species
AAUGGCGAGACUCCUGAGGGAGCAGUGCCAGUCGAAGACAGGGGCCCCAACACAGAAGCUGACAUAUAGUCAGCUUACAACAAUGUGCCGGUUGGGGUGGCUGAGACGGCACCCUAGGAAGGGACCCAUCAUCAAAAAUUCUAUUUAUAGAAUUUUACAG